GAUUGAACGCUGGCGGAAUGCUUUACACAUGCAAGUCGAACGGCAGCACGGGGGCAACCCUGGUGGCGAGUGGCGAACGGGUGAGUAAUACAUCGGAACGUGCCCGGUCGUGGGGGAUAACGUAGCGAAAGUUACGCUAAUACCGCAUACGAUCUGAGGAUGAAAGCGGGGGACCUUCGGGCCUCGCGCGAUCGGAGCGGCCGAUGUCAGAUUAGGUAGUUGGUGGGGUAAAGGCCUACCAAGCCGACGAUCUGUAGCUGGUCUGAGAGGACGACCAGCCACAUUGGGACUGAGACACGGCCCAGACUCCUACGGGAGGCAGCAGUGGGGAAUUUUGGACAAUGGGCGCAAGCCUGAUCCAGCCAUUCCGCGUGCAGGACGAAGGCCUUCGGGUUGUAAACUGCUUUUGUAUGGAACGAAAAGGCUCUGGCUAAUACCUGGGGCUCAUGACGGUACCGUAAGAAUAAGCACCGGCUAACUACGUG
rnacentral:rRNA from 1 species